GGAGAGGUCUGCCAGUGCUUACACAGCCCAGUGAUACAUCCAACCUCCCCCAGGAAACCUGUGAACCCAACACCCAACACUUCUCUCAGGGUAGGUAAAGAGGAGUCUGCUGCUCUGCUCUGUCAUCUGUGGCCAGGACUGGAUUUCCUCCGUGUAGAGACUGGAUUGUGUCCUUAGCUUCACUGGGAAAGAAAAGUGUUCUGAACAGAGGCUGAAGACAUGCUUUGAUGACCUUAGAAAUCCUCUCUCCUCAUGGAUAUCAUGCUAAGCUGGCACAGCACAAGCUGAAUACACCUUUCCCCACAACUUCUGAUCCAGACUGCGCCGGUGUGAUCCUUUCUCCUCUGGCCUGAUACCCAAAUCCUGGUGUGGUGACAGGAGGUUAUCUUCCUUCGGCUUCGGAUGGGAUAAAAGCCAGACAAACAGAGAAAAACAGCAACAUACAGGACUACAGCAAUUUCUACCUAUGCUUCUUACUGUUCUUAUUGACCAUGAAGUACUGCAAUGUAUCAACACUGUUCUCAGCUGGGAAGAAACCCGUAGUACUGUUUUUUGUCUGAGUAAAUGACCUAGGGGACUUUGGGGUAAAUGAAAUGGUUAGUCUUGAUAUUUAUGCAAAGGGUGAAUAGCGCUCAUUAAGAGGUUGUUAAGUAAGAGCAAGCCUGGCAGGAAAGAAGGCUGAAACCAUGAAAAGCCCAGUGUUUUGGUCCAGACUCCCCUACUUUGCUGUCCAGGUGAGCAGUCUGUUCUGAGAACCUCACAGCUAUGUUCCGGCCCACAACUUGAUCUUUCCUCUCAUGGAAUCCAGGUAUGCAGACCUCUUGACUUUCCUGUUGUGGUGCAUGACACGCCACGUGCCGGUUUACGAGAUGCAAUAACUUUCCUUGAAGACCGCCUGCUUUGGAUCCCACGUGAAAAUACCAUUAAGCCUUCAGAGAAUGGGUUUGGGGACGGCAAUCGAUUUGGGACCAGUUUAUGGCUGUUGCAGAGCUCUGAAAGGCCCGUUGCACCCCCCUGCUCUGACUGAAAAGGCAAGGCUGAGGGAAAUUCUAUCUGUGUCAUUCCUUCUUU
rnacentral:lncRNA from 1 species